CUGCAGGAGAGAGAGAAGAUAAGACGGAGAGAGAAGGAGGAGAGGAGGGAGAGGAAAAGAGGUGCGGUGGCAGGGAAAUCGUCGUCGGAUGCGUCUUAUAUGUGAUGGGUGUGUUCCCAUCAAGUCGAUGGUGGGGUUGAUGUGCCCGUCGAUUCGUGAUCCGCUGGCUGGGCUCAUCUUCUCAAUGGCGGACUGGUGUUCUAUGUUAGUCGGAGCCAUUGUAUGUGGUUGUGCAGUUGCUGAUGUACAGGAGGCGUCCGUGGUAUCAGUUCUUCAUCGUCCAUGCUUAUCUUCUAUAUGCUCUAGCAGCCAGUUCAAGUCAGGCAACUUCUCCUGGGCGAUCGUGCGUACUUGGUCGCUGUGGCUCCUUUGAGCCUUUUUCGACGCCUGGGAAUCAGAAUUAAUAAAAUGGAGAUAAGGAACCAUGUAGUUCACUGAGCAGCUAUAAAGCCUAAGAUAAACUACAGUAAACAGAAAGUUGAGGAAUCAACCAAAUGUGUAGAAAUUUUGGUGACUAACUUAUGACUUGUUUAUUUCAGAGAAACUAAUGACUUAUCAAUCCAACAGACAGUAUGAAGUUGUGCCAAGUAAAGCCAAAAAAGAAACUGUAUGUAUAUAACGGAGUAGCGGAUGCGGUUCAAGCUGUUUUUUUGCCUGCUUAUUUUUUAUGUAGCUUUUUUGGCCUGCUUGUCAGUGAUGCAAUGCCUUAUGGAGUAACGAAAGCCUAGAAUGAGAGUUAGGGAAAAUGAAAUGGACACCAAAUUUGGUGAGGCUUAUAUACUAUGAACUUGGAGCCAAGUAGAAACCCCAGUGUUAGCUGAACAGAAAAUUUAAUGUGUUAAGUUAUGCAUAUUGCAUUGUACCCAAAUAAUUCAAAUAAGUGUUAACUCAAAGGAUUGUUUUUGUAGAGGUCCAUAUGCAAUUCAUCAGAUACAGAUAAAGGGUUAGUAUCUCCCAUGUGUGCAAAAUUGGUGUGCAGAUAGCAAUUCACAGACCACUUUCCCUGAACCUCAAAUUAUGUAAAAUUUGGUGCUAAUCAACCGGGUGCAUACCUGCAGCCUUGAGGAGCAGUACUGAGGCAGGAGGUGUCUUCAAGAUAAAGCAGGAUUUAAUUGAUGGAGUCCUGCUGCUAAAGGACUGCUAAAGGACGUGAACAGGAAGUCCUAUCGCUGGAUGUUUAUUGUCCGAAUUGCAAGGAUCUGGGAAUACAUGAGUACAGACUCUAUCGAAUUCUAUAGCUCUAUUCAUUGGCACACCAGUUGAUCAAUUUUGAGAUGGCACAUCAACAUUAUGUACCUGAAGCGAUCGCUACAGAAGGAAGGUACCAAACAAGAUUAACUGUUUCUAUGCUUCUCAAAAUACUUUAGUAUAUGCCCAUAAUAUCACAGUAUGAAUUGCUGUGUGGGAAGUUUGCUUUUCCUACCAUCACGGAAUAAUAAUUCAUUUUUUAGUUUGAUAUAUUCCGCGCCCAAUUAACUAUUUGUAUUUGCCAGAGAAUGCAGAAAAAAAAAUACUAACCUGCUUGUGUUCCCGAGAGAGUGUAUUUCUCCAUACCUCAACAUUCUUGAUAAUAUGGUCAUCUCUGUUCUGGACAACACACUUGACGACCUCUCUUCAUGGCACAAAACUGAAACUGUGCCAUUAAUAUAUUUUCCUUGCAUGCUUGUCUAAAUAAAGGGUGCAAUACACAUGACAUAGUCGCAUAGAUAUACAAAUCCCUUAUUCCUGUGAGCAAGACUGAAGCUUGCUACUUGUUAAGACCAGUCAUAAACAUUUCUGUGAUUGUAGCUGAUUCCCGUCAGUGAAACUUUGCCAUGACCAUUGUUUAUUCAGUGAAAUAGCUGAUUCCAAUCAUCCAUCAACUAGAUUUGUGAUAAUCACAACAACAAGCUUAUAUCUUACAAAUCGCCUGAUUGGUGAUUAUCCAUUUUAUAUGAUGUUUUUCAUUUGCAAGCGCUGAGUUUUUUCCUUUCAAGUUUCUCUCUCUUACUCUAUUUCUUUAAAUAUAUUUCUCCUCUCACUCCAUCAUCCAGUCUGUCGGUUACUCAUGAUGAGUGAUUAUAUGCAAUCAUCCGACAAUAAUUAGUAUAGAUAAUUAGUUAUGCCAGGUUGCUACAUUUCAAUCUCCUUUUUACCAAUAUGAAAUAUGAUGGCAUAUUAAUAUUGAGAGACAGUCUCGUCGUCCGCUGCAGCAUCACCCUUCUUUUUCGCCGCCCUAACUUUUUUGCACCCCAGGCCUAGCACGCGAUAACGGCGCCACGAGGAUUCUCUGUCGUGAGGAGUACCCCGACCCGUAUGAUGGCCACCGGAAGGUCACACACUUCUUUGGCUCGCUUCGACUGGCUCCAUUGACGACUUCUCUAAGGUGUAUUUGUUGGGUUCCUCUUGGCGUGUCGAACAAAAAUUGGCGUUCAGCACUACUAUUUAAAGAUGGUUUGAUCAGUACUACAGAAAACCCAUAGAUUAUUGUAGGUAUCUAAGAAUGAUGAUGAUUACACUCGGAGCAAGCCUUGUUGCGGCGCUGCGUGUUGCCCUCCUCCUCCCCAAGGGCAAGGUGAAGGAAGGUGCCUGUGUGGUUCUUCUGCAGCUCGUAGCGAGGAUUGCUGUGUUCAACCUGCACAAGAAUGCCAAGAAGUCCUUCUCGGAGACGAUUAAGGACAUGUACCUGCACUGCAACGAGAGAUCUGGGCUGCUUCUUUGUGGCUUCCAAACUUGAAAUGUUUGUUUGGAAGUUAGUUUAGUUUUUUGUUGUGGAUUCACAGCUUCUCACAUGUACCAUCCUCUUAGACCUUUAGAUUUCCAAAGAAACUAAAUGAAGAUAUGGUGGUAUGGUCUCAAUGAAGCGUUCCAUGCUUUAUAUUUUCUCUAAAAUUUUCUGCUGAAGAAUCAUGUAUCUAUGUUAGAUCCGGUGAGAAAAGAGGCGGCUUCCAAGCAGAGGAUGCAGGAGUGUUGGCCGCAUUUGGUCUUUGACUUGGGUGUGUAAAUAUUCUUACAAUACUUGGCUCCCUCUCGGCCUUUGUGCCAUUGGCGCAACGAGUCAUCUAGUAUAUACAAACCAUGUAUGAAUAA